GUGCUUGCCUGGGCAGCACAUAUUGGAAUGAAAAUUGGUACAACUCAGUGAAGAUGAACGUGACCUUGCACAAAAAUGACAUGCAAAUUCAUGCAAGUGACCCCGUCUUU
rnacentral:snRNA from 1 species